CUUAACUUGUAAAUCAACAGAUGUUAUAUACGUACUGAAGUGCAACACUUGCUGCGGUGAGUACAUUGGAGAGACCAUUAAUCUGAGAAAACGCAUUCAUACACACAACUCUCAUAUUCGAACAGAGCAGCAUUUGUGUCGAGCUACUGACCAUUUGAUAGAAUGUGGGAAACACUUGUGCGAUGUUAAGGAACGGUACACUGUAUUCGUUUUGGAGACAGAGCGAGACAAGCACGUGCGUAAAGCCAAAGAGGCGUACUACAUUCGAUUAUUCAAGCCAAUGAUGAACAAAAACCGUCACUCCAAAAACUGAGGACUGGGAUGCCGAAAUUGCGGUGGCGAAACGUCCGACUUUCAACAUCAGCGUGGGCAAAAUGACGCAGAGACAAAUUAACAGACUAAACCGAUGCUGGACCUGUCGCUGCGUGCCUGUCAAUUGUACAUGUUCAAAGUAUUGAAUAAAAUUGUUGAAACGUU